rnacentral:rRNA from 1 species
UACGAAGGGGGCUAGCGUUGCUCGGAAUCACUGGGCGUAAAGCGCACGUAGGCGGAUUGUUAAGUCAGGGGUGAAAUCCUGGAGCUCAACUCCAGAACUGCCUUUGAUACUGGCGAUCUUGAGUCCGGGAGAGGUGAGUGGAACUGCGAGUGUAGAGGUGAAAUUCGUAGAUAUUGGGAAGAACACCGGUGGCGAAGGCGGCUAUCUGGACUGUGAUUGACGCUGAGGCGCGAAAGCGUGGGGAGCAAACAGG